UCUCUAAAAAGCACAGAAUGUGUUUUGAACUUUGCCAGAAGGAUCAUGAAGAGGAUUUAACAGAGGACCUCAAUGUCUUGACGGUCCUUUCCUGGGGAGACUGUUCUUCCUCUGAGCCCCGAAAGACACUCACAUGGAUAUCCUGGACAUGUCCCUAUCACGGCAUUUACAUUUACCACGGUGUUUAUAUCUGCUGACUUCGCUGAACUGUGAGCACCCGGAAGUAAGAGAAGAUGCUCUGAUGAAAAGAAGGACUAUUUGACCCAGCAGAGAGCAUUUUCCCAAUAUAAUCUCCAUGAUGAGGCCUUCCUGCUGCGUCCCUGGGAAAUCUCUUAAGGAUUUCAUUUCAGGGACGAUAUUUAGCAAGAUCCAGGUGCUUGCUAUGACCAACGACAGAUUGUGGUGGAAACAUUCGUUGCACGGCCGUUCAUCCUGUUUACAAGGCUUACCUACCAACCAACGUUGCCUGGGCUGUUACCUCAGGUAUUAAGACCUUUGCCUCAAAGGUGUAACAUCAGAAGGACAGGACACCCUC